rnacentral:rRNA from 1 species
UGGGGAAUUUUGGACAAUGGGGGCAACCCUGAUCCAGCAAUGCCGCGUGUGUGAAGAAGGCCUGCGGGUUGUAAAGCACUUUAGGUGGGGAGAAAGGCUAAUGCAUGAAUAGUGCGUUAGAUUGAUGUUACCCACAGAAUAAGCACCGGCUAACUCUGUGCCAGCAGCCGCGGUAAUACAGAGGGUGCAAGCGUUAAUCGGAAUUAUUGGGCGUAAAGGGCAUGUAGGUGGCUUGUUAAGUCUGAUGUGAAAGCCCCGGGCUUAACCUGGGAAUUGCGUUGGAAACUGACGAGCUAGAGUCGGACAGAGGGCCGUGGAAUUUCCGGUGUAGCAGUGAAAUGCGUAGAGAUCGGAAAGAACACCUGUGGCGAAGGCGGCGGCCUGGGACCAGACUGACACUGAGGUGCGAAAGCAUGGGGAGCAAACAGG